rnacentral:lncRNA from 1 species
CAAAAAAAAUUUGCACAUUUUUACCUAAACUCGUUAAUUCGUUGCACGGUGCCCCCUGAACUCAAUUUUCCGGCAAUUUUGACCGGAAUUCUAAAACAUGUGCAGUGCACGUGAGAUUUGCAGGGAUAAAUUUGUCCAUUCACAUACAUCAUACAUACUAAAUAUAAAUUAAUCGAUUAAAUAAAUUAAAUAUAUAAAAAAAAAGACAAAAAAAAAGGAAAAAGAAAGAAAAGCUGCAACUCACCAGCCCCCAACCCAAGCUAAAAUCAGUCAUCGUCUUUUGUUUUUUAAAUUGUUUUCUUCUUCAUCGUCUUCCAAAAACCCAUCUCACCACCAGCAGUAAUCGCCCGCCCGAAUUCCCAGCAAAAACCUAGUUCACUUUGUCUUCAUCAUCUUCAGAAUAUCUCUUAUCUUUGUAUUCAUCUUCUUCCCCAAGUUUCUUCUUCUCUAAUUUUCUUCCCCAAUUUCUAUCUCAAUUAUUAAUUUAAAUUCUACUUUUAUAUUAUACUUAAAUCAUAAAAAAUAAAAAUACCCAAAAAUAGCUGGGAUCUUUCACGACGGAGGGGAGCAUAGGCGGAGAUGGUGAUUUCUUA